rnacentral:lncRNA from 1 species
GUACGGAGUCUAGGCAAGCCAGACGGAAUAACAUCAUCACCAUGAACCGCCGUGACGUCAGGCAACGAAUUCGCAGACCGGCGAUAACGAUCAUUCGCUAUCUUCUUCCGUUUUGCAAACUCGAGCAACUGAUCUAGGGUUUUCCGGUGCAUGUAGUACGCCGAUACGGCCACAAAUGAGGCUCCGACGAGUGCCGCCAUAGCUAGAUGCAAGGCGUAUGGGUCCAUUUUGUAUAGAUUUGUAUAAUGGUGGUGAAUGAAACAGGGGGGUUUGUCUGUGUGAAGUGUAAACCCUACUGAUGAAUUGAAC